ensembl:lncRNA
GGGAGAUGGAGGGAGAGAGGGAUCGCAGAGAACAGAGUAGAGAAAGAAUGGGGAGAUGAAGGGAGAGAGGGAUCGCAGAGAACAGAGGAUAGAGAAAGAAUGGGGAGAUGGAGGGAGAGAGGGAUCGCAGAGAACAGAGUAGAGAAAGAAUGGGGAGAUGGAGGGAGAGAGGGAUCAGAGAGAACAGAGGGUAGAGAAAGAAUGGGGAGAUGGAGGGAGAGAGGGAUCAGAGAGAACAGAGGGUAGAGAAAGAAUGGGGAGAUGGAGGGAGAGAGAGAUCAGAGAGAACAGAGGGUAGAGAAAGUGGUGACAGGCGGUGACACUGCGCGUGUCCUCGUUCCCUGUUUACGAUGGGAUAAUCACACACACACACACACACACACACACACACACACACACACACACACACACACUGUGCUCUGCCCUCUGUGUCCCCCUCACAGCCCACUGUGACAUGCUGCUGCCAAUGCCAUGAUAGUGUGUGUGUAGUGUCUUUCUUUUCUUUUCCUAUAUACCUAUUCCAUAUCUUUCUUCCCCCCCCCCUCUUUGUAAACCCUUUCUUUGCUUACCCUUUACCUCCUCCCUCUCUUCCCUCUCUCGCCCACUACGUCUCUCUUACAGGAAUUGGUAGCAGAUGUGGAGAGAGCUUUUUCCUUCAUCUAAAAUGAUCCCCAAUAAAAGAAUGUCAGGAAAAGAGUGAGGGGAAAGAAGGCUUGAUGGAGAAGCAGAAAGGAAUGGGGAAGGCAUAGGUUGAUGGUCUCGGUGAAGUAAGGGUGUAUUUUUGGGACCUCGCACACCGUGCUGACACAGUCAAGCCGUCGGGGGCACAAACAAAGUUGGUAUAGAGGAACAGCGUCUGAGUAGCAUGUGAUGCUAACCUGUCCUGCUGUUGUUGAAAAGGCCUGGAUUAAGAUUAGGACUAGUUGUAAGUGAAUAAUGAUGAGAAGGAGUAGUCUGACAGCAGGCGGCAGUAGUCUGACAGCAGGCGGCAGUAGUCUGACAGCAGGCGGCAGUAGUCUGACAGCAGGCGGCAGUAGUCUGACAGCAGGCGGCAGUAGUCUGACAGCAGUAGUCUGACAGCAGUAGUCUGACAGCAGGCAGCAGUAGUCUGACAGCAGUAGUCUGACAGCAGGCAGCAGUAGUCUGACAGCAGGCAGCAGUAGUCUGGCAGCAGUAGUCUGGCAGCAGGCAGCAGUAGUCUGACUGCAGGCAGCAGUAGUCUGACAGCAGGCAGCAGUAGUCUGACAGCAGGCAGCAGUAGUCUGACGGUAGUAGUCUGACAGCAGGCAGCAGUAGGGGAGAGGGACUAUGGAAAGGUCUUCAUCCACCUCAGCAAUGACAUAAUUGGGACUCUAUAAAAUCAGUUAUACUUUUGGCUUGAACUGUUUAGUUUUUCCCCAAAUCACGUUUUCUCAGUUGAGUUUUUCCAGGUUUCUGUUUUCCCCAACUUUUUUCAGGUUUUCACUCUCUGAAGUCAACAACAAUACUUAAACCACAUCAGGAGACCACUUUUGAGGGCUGUGGAUUUUGUUGUUGUUGAAAUGUACAUUUCUGGUUGUAGUUACCUUUUAAUUCCAUUGUGCAGUUAGCAAGAGGCUGCUGUUGGUAGAGUUUCCGUGAUGGUAGUGUUUACAAAACAAAUACCCACUGGAUUGACACAAAUAAUCCUGAUAUCAUUCUGCCAGGGAAGCACAGGCUACUUUGUAGUUAACAUUUCAUUGAG